UACGGAGGGUGCAAGCGUUAGUCCGGAUUCACUGGGUUUAAAGGGCGUGUAGGUGGUUUCGUAAGUCUGGCGUGAAAUUUUUCGGCUUAACCGGGAAAGGUCGUCGGAUACUGCGGAACUAGAGGACGGUAGAGGCGUGUGGAAUUCCGGGUGUAGUGGUGAAAUGCGUAGAGAUCCGGAGGAACACCAGUGGCGAAGGCGACACGCUGGGCCGUACCUGACACUGAUGCGCGACAGCAUGGGGAGCAAACAGGAUUAGAGUACCCU
rnacentral:rRNA from 1 species